UGUAAAUUGUGUACUUAGUCGGACAAAAUGAUCAAAAUUAACCCUACUGCCAAUAAGAACUGCAUAUAUUCGAAGAGUAUAAGGGCGUAUUCGAUUUUUGGUGGACGUGGAGAGCUUAGCGUGCAUCGUAUAAAGUGACCGUGUCUAUCAGAUAUCCCAUGUGGUUCCCAUUGGACGAUAAUUAUAGCCAGAAGGAACAACAGAAAUUGCAGAGUCGUUUAUAUUAAUGGUAAAGUUUUUUUCGAGCACCAAGUUCCCCCGAGAAGUGCCGCGUUGCAGGAAGCGUCGAUAACACCCUUGGUAGAGUCUGCAAGGGGCACGCGUUGUGCAUACAAGUGGGAUUUUCCAUUGAAUCAUUGCUUUUGGCUAUAGCUUUGAAGGUGCAACAGGAUGCUGAAGGCAACGAACGUCCGAUUCGACUUUGCAGUCUCAUUGGAACAUUGAAACCACUUAGUGCUGCAGCUUUCGACUGUUACCAAUAGGCUGCCAAAGUGGCGGCAGUAAUCCGCUGCACGAGAAGAUCCCAAAAUCGAGGGAUAAAAUCAAGAGCUAAAGGUUAUGCAUCUGCAUCGAAGGUACUUUCAGAUGGUCCACAGACUACAAGGUACAACCAUAUAUCCGCAAGGUGCUUGCCAUACUUGAGAUUGUGGCAAUUCAAUCGAAUAUUGAACCAGUGAAAGGUGAAAAAUAAUGUGAAAUCAAUUCUCAUGGCUUGGCGACAUAUAAAAGGACCCGCCGACACUGCCAGUGAUUCCGGGAAAGUGACCAACUGCGGUCAGCGAUAGGCGGCUAAGCGCUGACGGUAGACCGUAUAUGGUGUACGGUUGAAAAGGACCUCUCGUCUGCUCUCGCCCACGUACAGAAAACACACUAAUGAAGUGCUCUGGAGGGACAUGGACAUGGACACGGACACGGAUACCCCAGCCCCCGGGGCGUUGUCGGAUGCAUUUGGCAAAUAAAACACCUACCGACACACGAGACGACAAUAGCGAUAAGCUGAGAAAGGGAGACAGACACAGAGCACAGAGAUUGAGGACUCAGCGUGCCGUCCGGCAUCGUGACAAAGGACAACUGCAACUACACAGAGUCCAGG
rnacentral:sRNA from 1 species